rnacentral:rRNA from 1 species
UACGAAGGGGGCUAGCGUUGCUCGGAAUCACUGGGCGUAAAGGGUGCGUAGGCGGGUCUUUAAGUCAGGGGUGAAAUCCUGGAGCUCAACUCCAGAACUGCCUUUGAUACUGAAGAUCUUGAGUUCGGGAGAGGUGAGUGGACCUGCGAGUGUAGAGGUGAAAUUCGUAGAUAUUGGGAAGAACACCGGUGGCGAAGGCGGCUCACUGGCUCAUUACUGACGCUCAGGCGCGAUAGCGUGGGGAGCAAACAGG